GAUUGGGUGCACAGUAUGGAGUUGGAGCUUUCCAAGGGCACUGGGGAGACUGAGGAGUGGACACCUUGUCAGGGUCUAGAUGAAAGGUAUGGUGAAGCAUUGGAAAGGGCUUUUUCACCUAUGCAUGCUGAGAGAAGUUCGGAACCUGAAGAUGCAGACCAGGCUCUGACCAAGCCUGCAGAGCUCAGAUCACAUGCUACACAGAAGCCAAAAUAAGCAACCAGAAGAAAAAGAGAAGAAGAAAAACAAGGAGGAACAAAAAUAAAUAAUGAAGAAGCAGCCAUUGCUCAGCUAUUUUUCUAUUGGCUUUAAAUGAAAAGAGAACUGCUUUGACGUGACCAUUACAAGGUACCAACAACAUCCGGCAGCAAUUAUCUUGUAUUACAGUCCUAACAUACCUGGAUAGACUAGCCAAUCUUUAUGCCAUUUUAGUGUUUCGUUUUUAAUAAAAAUGUCCAUAAAUGUGUAUGCAUUUGCAUGUCUUAUAUAGAUAGGAAACAGAAUAUUUGAUUACUUUAUCAAGAGCUUGUUCAGAAG
rnacentral:lncRNA from 1 species